rnacentral:lncRNA from 1 species
CAUGCUGACGGCAAACGGGAACGAAACGGCAUUCGGCGAACUCUGCUUGUACCGGCGAUACCAGAGACAAAGCAGCAAAACUCGGGUUGUCUCCCGGACUCGGUUCCGCAGCUGCACUUCGGAGGGAGCUGCGCAGUCUAGGCGGCACAAGAGCCUUUCGCUGUAAUUCAUCAUUGCUCAGCUCUACCUGCUCCCUGUUGAGGAAAUACAGGUUCAGCCAGCCAGAAGAGGAAGGAUCAGACUUGGCAGCAACACCAUCACGGCAGCCCCUUCCAGGUGUGAGAUGACCCAAUGCCACCAGGCGCUGGAUGCAGACGGUCCCCAGCGCAGCAUCCGUGCCCCUGGAUUUCCUCAGCAAGGCGAAGGAGACUGGGAAUGUUGAACCUCAGCCGGCAGUUGGGAAAUUGCCUCCUUCUAAUACAAGCCAGACCUGUGGAAACCCUCCAGGUCUCCAAAGCCCUCAGCAGCCCAAUCAGGACUUUGAUGAUGAAAAGCAGAAUAAAGACGAACAGGAAGAAAGCGAGUUUAAACAAGCCCAAACAAGAAACAGCAGAUUUGGGGAUAGCCAAGCGAGUGUCUGAAGGCAGCCCCAGCUGUUUGAACUGUACGGUCUGCCCCUGGAGAAAGCAGAGAAACCAUGGCAAACACCUCAUGAUGAAACGGCUGGAGAUUCCCAGAUCUCGCUGGGGCUGUGGAGAUACUGCAGUGUGCGCUAAGCACCAGAACUUGCCCAUGCGGAGGGGACAUGUAGGCAGCCCUGGCCAUGGCCAUCACGGAGGCGUGCCCUAUGGGAGUGACUGUGGCUUCCUGGUUACAGCCAUCCGCCUUUCCUGGGACAAUCCCCCUGGAGACGUUUCCCCCCCCCCCCCCCCGGGCUCUGCUCCCUGUCCCUGCUUGCCCCAUUUACAGCUGGUCUCAGCAAAACAUGUGUCCACGUCUCCUGCUUUGGAGCAAAAAUUGAAUGUCUCUCCCUCUCCCUCUUGUCAUUUGCUAAAUAUCUACAAGGGCUGGACUUGGUUGCGCUUGCUGUGCCACGCUCUCGGUGUCGCCUCUCCUCCAACCCGAGGAAUUUCAGAAAUAAACCACCGCAGAGCUCACUUGGGACAGCUGCUAAGUGGGACAUUGUUGUCACAUUAAGGACCUAUUCUUAGGGCAAAGCAAACAGUUUUGGCAAUAGUCAGGAUCUCGCAGGAAGCUGGGUGUGUUGGGAGGACAGCCUAAGCAAAAGGAGGACCUAUAAAGGGAGGAGCAGUAUUUGGCACUGAUCACCUUUGGAAGUAGCUAAUCUUUAUUAUCAUUAUCAUCAUCAUGCAUUUUAAAGCAGUUGCAAGAGGCAGUUUCAAGCUUCCAUUUCAUUCCACCAUGAAGUAAGUUUAGAAAUAAAUGAGAAACUUGUUAUUAAUUUAGAUUUCA